rnacentral:rRNA from 1 species
AAAGGGUGAUCCCCCACACUGGUACUGAGACACGGACCAGACUCCUACGGGAGGCAGCAGUGAGGAAUAUUGCACAAUGGAGGAAACUCUGAUGCAGCCAUGCCGCGUGCAGGAUGACAGCCCUACGGGUUGUAAACUGCUUUUUUACAAGAAGAAA